rnacentral:rRNA from 1 species
UACGAAGGGGGCUAGCGUUGCUCGGAAUCACUGGGCGUAAAGCGCACGUAGGCGGAUCUUUAAGUCAGGGGUGAAAUCCUGGAGCUCAACUCCAGAACUGCCUUUGAUACUGGGGAUCUCGAGUCCGGAAGAGGUGAGUGGAACUCCGAGUGUAGAGGUGAAAUUCGUAGAUAUUCGGAAGAACACCAGUGGCGAAGGCGGCUCACUGGUCCGGUACUGACGCUGAGGAGCGAAAGUGUGGGGAGCGAACAGG